rnacentral:snRNA from 1 species
GGAUGUGUGGGCGUUUGGCUGCAACAUCUGUCACCCCACUGAUUGCCAGGGUAGACUUGGCUGGUCUGGCUGGCUAGGUGGGAGGACCCUUUCUCCUUCAGCUUCAUGUUCUUUCCUCUUGAAGUUGUGCAUUCAGUGGAAGAGGACGACUACCCGGAUGGAUGCACAGCAUUCCUCAGUCAGGAGUAUACAAUCAGCUGCUCUCCCCUGCUAGAACCUCCAAAAGAGCUCUUAAGAAAUAACCACCUGCUUGGCUUAGCAUAGUUCUGGGUGUGACAAAAUUAUUACUUU